rnacentral:rRNA from 1 species
GUGGGGAAUUUUGGACAAUGGGCGCAAGCCUGAUCCAGCAAUGCCGCGUGCAGGAAGAAGGCCUUCGGGUUGUAAACUGCUUUUGUACGGAACGAAACGGUCCUGGUUAAUACCUGGGGCUAAUGACGGUACCGUAAGAAUAAGCACCGGCUAACUACGUGCCAGCAGCCGCGGUAAUACGUAGGGUGCGAGCGUUAAUCGGAAUUACUGGGCGUAAAGCGUGCGCAGGCGGUGCUGUAAGACAGGCGUGAAAUCCCCGGGCUCAACCUGGGAAUUGCGCUUGUGACUGCAAGGCUGGAGUGCGGCAGAGGGGGAUGGAAUUCCGCGUGUAGCAGUGAAAUGCGUAGAUAUGCGGAGGAACACCGAUGGCGAAGGCAAUCCCCUGGGCCUGCACUGACGCUCAUGCACGAAAGCGUGGGGAGCAAACAGGAUUAGAAACCCUAGUAGUCC